UGGGUUUGUCCUAAGACAAACUUCUUUAAGUUUUACCAACUUCAUAGAAAAGUAUAGCAGCAUUUCCAACUCAAAUCAAAUAUACUACAAUUCAAUAGUGGAUUUAAUUAAACUAAUUUGGUGUUAUAAAUGUUUCUAUGUUUUUAUAAAAGUUUAGUCAAACUUAAAGUAGUUUGACUUGGGACAAACCCAA
rfam:Oryza glaberrima chromosome 6 Oglab06_0067_1, whole genome shotgun sequence.